rnacentral:rRNA from 1 species
UUGGUGGGGUAAUGGCCUACCAAGGCGACGACGGGUAGCCGGCCUGAGAGGGCGACCGGCCACACUGGGACUGAGACACGGCCCAGACUCCUACGGGAGGCAGCAGUGGGGAAUAUUGCACAAUGGGCGGAAGCCUGAUGCAGCGACGCCGCGUGAGGGAUGACGGCCUUCGGGUUGUAAACCUCUUUCAGCAGGGACGAAGCGAAAGUGACGGUACCUGCAGAAGAAGCGCCGGCCAACUACGUGCCAGCAGCCGCGGUAAGACGUAGGGCGCGAGCGUUGUCCGGAUUUAUUGGGCGUAAAGAGCUCGUAGGCGGCUUGUCGCGUCGACUGUGAAAACCCGCGGCUCAACCGCGGGCCUGCAGUCGAUACGGGCAGGCUAGAGUUCGGUAGGGGAGACUGGAAUUCCUGGUGUAGCGGUGAAAUGCGCAGAUAUCAGGAGGAACACCGAUGGCGAAGGCAGGUCUCUGGGCCGAUACUGACGCUGAGGAGCGAAAGCGUGGGGAGCGAACAGGAUUAGAUACCCUGGUAGUUCACGCUGUAAACGUUGGGCGCUAGGUGUGGGGGACCUCUCCGGUUCUCUGUGCCGCAGCUAACGCAUUAAGCGCCCCGCCUGGGGAGUACGG